rnacentral:rRNA from 1 species
GACGAACGCUGGCGGCGUGCUUAACACAUGCAAGUCGAACGGAAAGGCCCUGCUUUUGUGGGGUGCUCGAGUGGCGAACGGGUGAGUAACACGUGAGUAACCUGCCCUUGACUUUGGGAUAACUUCAGGAAACUGGGGCUAAUACCGGAUAGGAGCUCCUGCUGCAUGGUGGGGGUUGGAACGUUUCGGCGGUUGGGGAUGGACUCGCGGCUUAUCAGCUUGUUGGUGGGGUAGUGGCUUACCAAGGCUUUGACGGGUAGCCGGCCUGAGGGGGUGACCGGCCACAUUGGGACUGGGAUACGGCCCAGACUCCUACGGGAGGCAGCAGUGGGGAAUAUUGCACAAUGGGCGGAAGCCUGAUGCAGCAACGCCGCGUGCGGGAUGACGGCCUUCGGGUGGUAAACCGCUUUCGCCUGUGACGAAGCGUGAGUGACGGUAAUGGGUAAAGGAGCACCGGCUAACUACGUG